rnacentral:lncRNA from 1 species
GAUGGUUGCACACAAAAAAAAUUGAAUAACAAGGUUUUGUAUGUGCAUCAAAUUGGAACUGCUUCAAUAACAUGUCUAAUAAAAUACAAAGUUGUAAAUAUUCACAUGUGUUUUAUGAUACUUGAGUGCAAUGAUUUAAAAGCUCUAGAAUUAUCUACUCAUUUACAACUUUUUUUUUUUAAGUUUAAUAAACAAGAAUCACUGGCUGUAUGUACAACUUCAAUAAUAAUAUGUUCACUGUAAUGUGUAAUUUUGCACUUGGUUUGUUUCUGUAGUGUUUUACAUAAUUAAUUAAGUGUUGAGUAAUCAUUUGAAAAACAUGAGCUAUGUAACACUUAUAUUUGCAGCUGUGAAUUUAUGAGAACAGCAAAAUGCGAAGGAAAUUUAUCUAUUUACACUUUACACUCUGAAACCAUUUUCUGAGGAUUUUUUGGAUUUUCAUUUUUUAUUUUUUAUAUAUUUUUUAAUAAAAAAUUAAAAAAUCCAAAAAAUCAAUCACAGAACAAAACGAUGUUUUAUAAUAGUACACAACCAAUCGUUAUAAUGUUUUUUAUGUUUUACUUUCAGAAUAUGAAUUACAACGGGUAAUUACAUAUUUUAGCUUGAAAAGUAGUAUUUCCAUCAAACUGUCAGUUUUUCUAAUUAUUACAAUUUGAUUUACAGUAAUGAUUCGGAACUGCAAAUACCGCAUACAAAUUUUGGCUAUUAUUAACAAAUAUAAGGUUUUUAUUUAAUUUUAUUAAAAAACAGAAUCUUUCAAUGAUUUGUUGUCA